rnacentral:rRNA from 1 species
AUUGAACGCUGGCGGCAUGCCUUACACAUGCAAGUCGAACGGCAGCACGGGUGCUUGCACCUGGUGGCGAGUGGCGAACGGGUGAGUAAUACAUCGGAACAUGCCCCGUAGCGGGGGAUAGCCCGGCGAAAGCCGGAUUAAUACCGCAUACGAUUUUCGGAUGAAACCGGGGUACCUUCGGGCCGCGCGCUAUACGGUCGGCCGAUGGCUGAUUAGCUAGUUGGUGGGGUAAAGGCCUACCAAGGCGACGACCAGUAGCUGAUCUGAGAGGACGACCAGCCACACUGGAACUGAGACACGGCCCAGACUCCUACGGGAGGCAGCAGUGGGGAAUUUUGGGCAAUGGGCGAAAGCCUGAUCCAGCAAUGCCGCGUGUGUGAAGAAGGCCUUCGGGUUGUAAAGCACUUUUGUCCGGAAAGAAAUCCUUGGCCCUAAUACGGUCGGGGGAUGACGGUACCGGAAGAAUAAGCACCGGCUAACUACGUG